UACGUAGGGUGCAAGCGUUGUCCGGAAUUACUGGGCGUAAAGGGCUCGUAGGUGGCCAACUAAGUCAGACGUGAAAUCCCUCGGCUUAACCGGGGAACUGCGUCUGAUACUGGAUGGCUUGAGUGUGGGAGAGGGAUGCGGAAUUCCAGGUGUAGCGGUGAAAUGCGUAGAUAUCUGGAGGAACACCGGUGGCGAAGGCGGCAUCCUGGACCAUUACUGACACUGAAUAGCGAAAGCCAGGGGAGCAAACGGG
rnacentral:rRNA from 1 species